GACGAACGCUGGCGGCGUGCUUAACACAUGCAAGUCGAACGGAAAGGCCCUGCUUUUGUGGGGUGCUCGAGUGGCGAACGGGUGAGUAACACGUGAGUAACCUGCCCUUGCCUUUGGGAUAACUUCAGGAAACUGGGGCUAAUACCGGAUAGGAGCUCCUGCUGCAUGGUGGGGGUUGGAAAGUUUCGGCGGUUGGGGAUGGACUCGCGGCUUAUCCGCUUGUUGGUGGGGUAGUGGCUUACCAAGGCUUUGACGGGUAGCCGGCCUGAGAGGGUGACCGGCCACAUUGGGACUGAGAUACGGCCCAGACUCCUACGGGAGGCAGCAGUGGGGAAUAUUGCACAAUGGGCGGAAGCCUGAUGCAGCAACGCCGCGUGCGGGAUGACGGCCUUAGGGUUGUAAACCGCUUUCGCCUGUGACGAAGCGUGAGUGACGGUAAUGGGUAAAGAAGCACCGGCUAACUACGUG
rnacentral:rRNA from 1 species